CUGUUAAACAUUCAUAUACACAGGGCGAUACAACCACGACAGUUUCAGCUUAUAGGUUCCUCCAUUAACAAGGCAGCAAUUCAACUGUUUAAAGUUCUCUGGAUGAAUACAGAAUCUGCCACACAUUUACAUGUUUGCUAUAUGUUUGAAAUCUGACAUGACACCUAUAAUCAGCUAUGUGAUGUUUGCUGUAACCUGUCUCUCCACUGGGACGUCUGGGUACCCACACAGGACACCACUAUCAGAAUUCAUGUUCCGGCGCCAAAUCGACAGGACAGAAUGCAACACGUACCGAUUAUUUAAACGAGUUAUACAGAGGGAAACUACACCACAAGUCGACAUCUUCGUCAAUAACCUUUUCCGACAAAGCCCGAUAACUGGUGACAUUCUUCGUACAGAGAUGGCAGAUGUAUGUCGGUAUGGCAUAUUUAGUUAUCAUACUAAUGCAGCUUAACCUUGGCUGUCACUUGUCGUUGUUAAGAACUUGGUGAAAGAAUUUGUCAAACUACAAUAUGUGCUAGUGGAUUUAAAAGUGGCAUAGCAACAUCAAUUAGAACCCUAACACGAAAUACCCCUAUUGUGGCAUCAUGCUUCAAUAGUGAAGCAGUGACGAACAUAAUCAGUGUGUACGGAGGAUUGUGUACAAGGGAUGGUGAAGUAACCGCUUUCUUCACGAACUUAACAACCAACUUUGAGUCGGUGACUAUUUCUUCAUGGACAAGUCCUUGUAUGGAUAACCUGAUUGCUAUAAUUUUGACCUGUCCUUUUCUCGCAGUAGACAGGACUACGGGUUUGGAAGAAGGACCAGCUAUCUACCAGAGGCAGAUGCAAGAAAGUAUUGGGUGUGUCAUCACAGGAAUAGAUGACAAUGACAUGUCUAUGUGUGGGGACAAGCCAAGCCUGAAAAGACUCUUUCUUAUCAUUGAACUACUCUUAGACUUAGCACCGGGUGUUCAUUUCACCAUGGCAGAUUUUAGACUCUAAAUAUUAGGUGAUUCAUAUGUAUAAUGUUGUAAAAUACAAAGAUAUCUUCUGUCAUGAACAUAUAUAUAUUCAGCUUUGCAAUAUUAUAUUAUAUUAUUUUUGUUGAAACAUGAACCCUAUUUACGUGUAAAAGGCAUCUGUUUGGUAUGGUGGUUGAUUU